rnacentral:rRNA from 1 species
AUCAUAUGCUUGUCUCAAAGAUUAAGCCAUGCAUGUCUAAGUACAAACUAUAUUAAAGUGAAACCGCGAAAGGCUCAUUAAAUCAGUUAUGGUUCCUUAGAUCGUACCACAAUUACUUGGAUAACUGUGGUAAUUCUAGAGCUAAUACAUGCAAACAGAGCUCUGACCGGAGACGGAAGGAGUGCUUUUAUUAGAUCAAAACCAAUCGGCAGCGAUAGCAUUUCGGUGUUAUCGUUUGUCGCUCAAUAAAUGGUGAAUCUGAAUAACUUUAUGCUGAUCGCAUGGUCUUGUACCGGCGACGCAUCUUUCAAAUGUCUGCCUUAUCAACUGUCGAUGGUAGGAUCUGCGCCUACCAUGGUUGUAACGGGUAACGGGGAAUCAGGGUUCGAUUCCGGAGAGGGAGCCUGAGAAACGGCUACCACAUCCAAGGAAGGCAGCAGGCGCGCAAAUUACCCACUCCCGGCACGGGGAGGUAGUGACGAAAAAUAACGAUACGGGACUCAUCCGAGGCCCCGUAAUCGGAAUGAGUACACUUUAAAUCCUUUAACGAGGACCAAUUGGAGGGCAAGUCUGGUGCCAGCAGCCGCGGUAAUUCCAGCUCCAAUAGCGUAUAUUAAAGUUGUUGCGGUUAAAAAGCUCGUAGUUGAAUUUGUGUCUCGCACUGUCGGUUCACCGCCCGCGGUGCUAACUGGCAUGUUUUGUGAGACGUCCUGCCGGUGGAUGUAAGUAAUAAAAUUUCGAUUUUAUUACACAUCCGACUUAUAAAUCCUGUCGCGGUGCUCUUAAUUGAGUGUCGAGGCGGGCCGGCACGUUUACUUUGAACAAAUUAGAGUGCUCAAAGCAGGCUAAUUAAUGCCUGAAUAAUUAGUGCAUGGAAUAAUGGAACAGGACCUUGGUUCUAUUUUGUUGGUUUACGGAACCCCAAGGUAAUGAUUAAUAGGGACAGAUGGGGGCAUUCGUAUUGCGACGUUAGAGGUGAAAUUCUUGGAUCGUCGCAAGACGGACUAAAGCGAAAGCAUUUGCCAAAGAUGUUUUCAUUAAUCAAGAACGAAAGUCAGAGGUUCGAAGGCGAUCAGAUACCGCCCUAGUUCUGACCAUAAACGAUGCCAGCUAGCGAUCCGCCAAAGUUCCUCCGAUGACUUGGCGGGCAGCUUCCGGGAAACCAAAGCUUUUGGGUUCCGGGGGAAGUAUGGUUGCAAAGCUGAAACUUAAAGGAAUUGACGGAAGGGCACCACCAGGAGUGGAGCCUGCGGCUUAAUUUGACUCAACACGGGAAACCUCACCAGGCCCAGACACUGGAAGGAUUGACAGAUUGAGAGCUCUUUCUUGAUUCAGUGGGUGGUGGUGCAUGGCCUUUCUUAGUUGGUGGAGCGAUUUGUCUGGUUAAUUCCGAUAACGAACGAGAUCUAGCCUACUAAAUAGACGUUACACUUACCAGUAUCUCGAAGGCUCACAUCUCUCGUUUCUUUACUGCAUAUCACUAGCAUUUCGGUGUUUAGUUGGUUUGUGGUGGGCGGGAGUUUGUGGUUUUUACUACUGGCGUACAUAUAAAUCUUCUUAGAGGGACAGGCGGCUUCUAGCCGCACGAGAUUGAGCAAUAACAGGUCUGUGAUGCCCUUAGAUGUUCUGGGCCGCACGCGCGCUACACUGAAGGAAUCAGCGUGUCUUCCCUGACCGAAAGGUCCGGGUAACCCGCUGAACCUCCUUCGUGCUAGGGAUUGGGGCUUGCAAUUAUUCCCCAUGAACGAGGAAUUCCCAGUAAGCGCGAGUCAUAAGCUCGCGUUGAUUACGUCCCUGCCCUUUGUACACACCGCCCGUCGCUACUACCGAUUGAAUGAUUUAGUGAGGUCUUCGGACUGGUACGCGGCAAUGUUUUUACAUUACCGAUGUCGCUGGGAAGAUGACCAAACUUGAUUAUUUAGAGGAAGUAA